CGCAUUGGUGCUCAGGCCACCCCAGUCGCCGUGUGUAGGCGACCGCCGCUAGCCUCAGGGAACCGGUCCUGGAUCCAGCUUCUUGGCCCUGCGGGGCUGCAUGCUGUCAUAGUCAGGUUUCACCCACAGCUUCUUGGGAAAAAUGAGGCGUCCGAAUUCUAGGAACAAAUUUAUGGUUACUAGGACGUUCUUGGAUGUUUGCAUUUGAGGUUUAGGUGUUUCCCGUGGGGAUUAGAACGCAGGUGAAGGCCCUUGGCCAGGAUGGGCUCUGGAAAAUAAUGGUGAAAGUGAAUGAAUUUAUCACUAAAAAUCAGUGCGGAGUCUUACAGCGCAGAGUGAGCAGUGUUGCCAUGACGGGCCGGGAGCAUCCGCAGCAAACACGGAGACUGCGCAGCUGCGGGCCACCCUCCCUUCCAAGGUGCCCUCAGGCCUCCAUUCCUUGACACAUGGACCCCUCCACAGCCUGCUGUUGAAUUGAGUGGCCUCAUUUCAUGGCAUCUGGCUUCCCACGAAGGAGAGACUCAAGAGGGAGAGAAGUGUGAGCAGGUGCCACUGAGACUCUGAGAUGCCAGGACAUGGCUUAUCUCUUGCAACAUCAGGU